rnacentral:rRNA from 1 species
AUUACUGGGCUUAAAGAGUUCGUAGGUGGUUGAAAAAGUUGGUGGUGAAAUCCCAGAGCUUAACUCUGGAACUGCCAUCAAAACUUUUCAGCUAGAGUAUGAUAGAGGAAAGCAGAAUUUCUAGUGUAGAGGUGAAAUUCGUAGAUAUUAGAAAGAAUACCAAUUGCGAAGGCAGCUUUCUGGAUCAUUACUGACACUGAGGAACGAAAGCAUGGGUAGCGAAGAGGAUUAGAUACCCUCGUAGUCCAUGCCGUAAACGAUGUGUGUUAGACGUUGGAAAUUUAUUUUCAGUGUCGCAGCGAAAGCGAUAAACACACCGCCUGGGGAGUACGACCGCAAGGUUAAAACUCAAAUGAAUUGACGGGGACCCGCACAAGUAGUGGAGCAUGUGGUUUAAUUCGAAGAUACGCGCAGAACCUUACCAACACUUGACAUGUUCGUCGCGACUUUAAGAGAUUAAAGUUUUCGGUUCGGCCGGGCGAAACACAGGUGCUGCAUGGCUGUCGUCAGCUCGUGUCGUGAGAUGUUGGGUUAAGUCCCGCAACGAGCGCAACCCUCACUUUUAGUUGCCAUCAUUAAGUUGGGCACUCUGAAAGAACUGCCAGUGAUAAGCUGGAGGAAGGUGGGGAUGACGUCAAGUCCUCAUGGCCCUUACGUGUUGGGCUACACACGUGCUACAAUGGUAGUGACA